UACUCCUACGGGAGGCAGCAGUGGGGAAUAUUGGACAAUGGGCGCAAGCCUGAUCCAGCAAUGCCGCGUGAGUGAUGAAGGCCUUAGGGUUGUAAAGCUCUUUCGCACGCGACGAUGAUGACGGUAGCGUGAGAAGAAGCCCCGGCUAACUUCGUGCCAGCAGCCGCGGUAAU
rnacentral:rRNA from 1 species